rnacentral:pre_miRNA from 1 species
GGGGUGACGUCAUGCUCGUCGCCUGAACUUGUACUCAACCUCGUCAAUAGAUGAGCGCAGGUGAGCAAAGUUUCAGGUGUGCGAGCUAGCGUCCCCCU